GUCGAAGUAACAUUGGGUUAACGUACUUUACGCGUUCUUGUUUUCUGCGUUUAAAAUAAACACGACAACGUAAAAGUGGGGCUGCACUAAAUCAAUAACAAAUUAAUUAUUGACACAGACACAGAUGUACGGGGUGGCGCGUUUAUUAUGAGAUGAUAAUGUAUAAAAAAUAUCAAAAAAGUAUAUCGCACCUUCGGAAAGACAAAAAUUCGAAGUCACUUGCCGUGUCGCGCGCGAGUAAAGUGGUUGUCUGCAGGGACAUUAAAAUCAUUAUUCUUCUAAAACCAUACUCGAGAUAUAGCUAAACAAUGAUGAAAGGGAAAAUCAAGAGUCCAAGAGCAACAUUUUGCAUUUUGCUAGGAUCCUAAGUUAGUGGAAUGAGUGGAAGGCAACCUUCCAGAAGCAAUGGAUAUUAUAUCCACGAUGAACACAAGUUCAGAUUUUGAAAACCUGGAUACUAAAUUAGCGAAACGCAAUACUUCUGGUUCCUCAAAUAAUGAAGACUUUUCGCCGUUAAAAGUAUCAGAAAAGAAAAAGCCUCCAUAUAAAACUAAACCUUCUAUUCGUGCCUCAAGUACUUCGAGCUCCCACAGCAGCUUCGAUACAUGGAUUUCGAAAAUACAUUGUUAAGCAUCUUAUUUACU